rnacentral:rRNA from 1 species
AUUGAACGCUGGCGGCAUGCUUUACACAUGCAAGUCGGACGGCAGCAUAAAAGAGCUUGCUCUUUUGAUGGCGAGUGGCGAACGGGUGAGUAAUGCAUCGGAACGUACCGAGUAGUGGGGAAUAACUGUCCGAAAGGAUGGCUAAUACCGCAUAUUCUCUGAGGAGGAAAGCAGGGGACCUUAGGGCCUUGCGCUAUUUGAGCGGCCGAUGUCUGAUUAGCUAGUUGGUGGGGUAAGAGCCCACCAAGGCGACGAUCAGUAGCGGGUCUGAGAGGAUGAUCCGCCACACUGGGACUGAGACACGGCCCAGACUCCUACGGGAGGCAGCAGUGGGGAAUUUUGGACAAUGGGCGCAAGCCUGAUCCAGCCAUGCCGCGUGUAUGAAGAAGGCCUUCGGGUUGUAAAGUACUUUUGUCAGGGAAGAAAAGCCUGAGGAUAACACCCUCAGGUCAUGACGGUACCUGAAGAAUAAGCACCGGCUAACUACGUGCCAGCAGCCGCGGUAAUACGUAGGGUGCGAGCGUUAAUCGGAAUUACUGGGCGUAAAGCGAGCGCAGACGGUUAUUUAAGCAAGAUGUGAAAGCCCCGGGCUCAACCUGGGAACUGCGUUUUGAACUGGGUAACUAGAGUGUGUCAGAGGGGGGUAGAAUUCCACGUGUAGCAGUGAAAUGCGUAGAGAUGUGGAGGAAUACCGAUGGCGAAGGCAGCCCCCUGGGAUAACACUGACGUUCAUGCUCGAAAGCGUGGGUAGCAAACAGG